GACGAACGCUGGCGGCGUGCUUAACACAUGCAAGUCGAACGAUGAAGCCGGAGCUUGCUCUGGUGAAUUAGUGGCGAACGGGUGAGUAACACGUGAGUAACCUGCCCUUGACUCUGGGAUAACUGCUAGAAAUGGUAGCUAAUACCGGAUACGACCCUCGGAGGCAUCUCCAGGGGGUGGAAAGAAUUUCGGUCAAGGAUGGACUCGCGGCCUAUCAGCUAGUUGGUGAGGUAACGGCUCACCAAGGCGACGACGGGUAGCCGGCCUGAGAGGGUGACCGGCCACACUGUGACCGAGGCACGGCCCAGACUCGUACGGGAGGCAGCAGUGGGGAAGAUUGCACAAUGGGCGCAAGGCUGAUGCAGCAACGCCGCGUGAGGGAUGACGGCCUUCGGGUUGUAAACCUCGUUUAGUAGGGAAGAAGCGAAAGUGACGGUACCUGCAGAAAAAGCACCGGCUAACUACGUGCCAGCCGCCGCCGUAA
rnacentral:rRNA from 1 species